rnacentral:lncRNA from 1 species
AUUGGUGAUUAUGGAGAGGUGUUAAUGAGAUCGAUAGAAUAGAUACAUUUUGUGUAGUUGAGUUUCCUCAUGGGGACUUCUAGUAGCUAUGAUUAGCCCAUCUGUGCAAAUGAGUAGGGAAUGUAUGCCCUUUCAACAUAUGAGUCGAUAAAACUAUCUUAUCGGGUUUCGGGACUGAGGACCAUGAGGUUAAUAAAAGACUAACAAAACAGGUACUGGAGUUUAUAUAUUACUGAUUUGUUAGGUCGUAUAUUCGAGACAUCUACACGGUAUGGGACGUGUAGGUACAUAUGUCUUGGGUGUAUGGACUAAUUAGCCAGUAAUAGAGUGGAGGGAGUGCAUUAGCAUUUAUGCAUCGAUUUGUUGUUAUUUAUUUAAAGUAUUGUUUGAUAUGUGAUAACUUGAUUGUGCGACAUAGUUAAGUAUAACCUUAAAAGGUUAGGCCCUAUUGAGCGUAAGCUCACCCCUAUAGAAUUUUGUUUGGGUUUGUACAAGGCACGCCACGUCUUUCGAGAAGUCUAACAGUACGUUUAGCUAACGUGUACUAGAGUAUAGAAGAGUUACGGAAGAUUAGAAGUCAGAUAGAUCCGCAAGGCCUGGACGUUUUGUCUUUGUAAUUGGUUUUGUUAUUUGUAAACGUUAUUUGAAAUAUUUGAAAUUGUUUUAUUUUCUUUUACUUUUCCCGCUCACGCCUCGGGUUCGGCGUCAGGUGCUUGGAAACCACCGACACCGGGUCCGGGGUGUGACACUAGGGCCGCCAAGCGGCCGCCUUCACCCGCAUAGGGUCGCCUUGACCCACCUUGGGCCGUCUUGACCCUAAUUGAGCCGCCUUGACCCGCCAAGAGGCCGCCUUCACUCGCCAAGGGGCUGCCUUGGCCCACCGAAAGGCCGCCUUCACCCGUCUAAUGUCGCCAAGGGGUCUCCUUAACCUGCUAAUGGUCUACCUUGACCCUCCUAGACCUGCGUAGGGCCGCUUUAACCCUCCUAGGCCGGUCUAGGGCCGCCAAGGGGCCGCCUUGACCCGCCUUGAGGCGCCAUAGGCCGUCUUGACCCGUCUUGGUCCGCCUUAACCUGUCUAGGACCCCCUUGACCCUUCUAGGCCCGCCUAGGGCAGUCAAGGGGUUGCCAUGACCCUCCUAGGGUUGCCAAUUUGCUGUCUAGGGACGCUAAGCGGCCGCCUUGACCCGCUUUGACAUGUCUUGGGCCAUCUUAAUCCUCCUUGACCCGCCUUGAUCCGUCUUGAACCGCCUUGGUCAGCCUUAAUCCGUCUUGACCCGCCAAGAGGCCACCUUGACUCGUCUCGUCUAGGGCCACCAAGAGACCGCCUUGACCCGGUUAGGAUCGCCUUCACAUGUCUAAUGCCGCUAAGGGGUCGCCUUGACUUGGUAAUGGGCUACCUUGAGCCUCCUAGACCUGCUUAGGGCCGCCUUGACCCUCGUAGACCUGCCUAGGGCCGCCUUAACUCGCUUUGAACCGCUAUGGGCUGCCUUGACCCGCCUUGGGCAGUCUUGACCCUCCUAUGGCCGCCAAGAGGCCACCUUGACCCAUCUACGGACACAAAGGGGCUGCCUUGACCCGGCUAGGGCUGCCUUGACCGGGCAAAAGGGUCGCCUUGACCCGUCUAAUGCCGGUAAGGGGUCAAGGUCUAAUGUCGGUAAGGGGUCGCCUUGACCUGCUAAUGGGCCACCUAGACCUGCCUAGGGCCGCCUUGACCCUCCUAGGCCCGCCUAAGGACACCAAGGGGUUGCCUUGACCCGCUUUGAACAGUCUUGACCCUCCUAGGCCCGCUUAGGGACGCCAAGGGGUCGUCUUGACCCGCUUUGAACAGUCUUGACCCUCAUAGGGCCGCCUAGGGAGACAAAGGGGUCACCUUGACCCGCUUUGAACAAUCUUGACCUUCCUAGGGCCACCAAGGGGCCGCCAUGACCCAUCUAAGGCCACCAAGGGGCCACCUUCACCUAUCUAAGGCCACCUAGGGGCCGCCUUGACCAGCCUUGACCCUCAUAGGCCCAUCUAGGGACGCCAAGGGGCCGCCUUGACCCGCUUUAACUUGCCUUAACCCGCUUUGACCCGCCAAGGGGCAGCCUUGACCCUCCUAGACCCACCUUGGGGCGCCUUGACCCUCCUAGCCCCUCCUGGGGCCGCCUUAACCCUCCUAUGCCCUUCCUAAGAUGCCGCCAUGACCCGCCAAGGGGGCUGCCUUGACCCUCCUAGACCUUCCUUGGCCCACCUUAAUCCGCCUUGACCCGCGAAGAGGCUGCCUUGAUUUGUCUAGGGCCGCUAAGGGGUCGCCAUGACCCAUCUAAGACUACCUCGGGGCCGUCUUGAUUCGGCUAGGACUGCCAAGGGGCCGCGUUCACUAGUCUAAGGCGGCCAAGUGGUCACCUUAACCCGCCAAAAGGCCGCCUUGACUUGUUAAUGGGCUACCUUAACCCUCAUAGACCUGCCUAAGGCAGCUUUGACCCACCUUAAGCCGCCUUGGUCCGCUUUGGCCUGCCUUAAUCCGCCUUGACCUGCCAAGAGGUCGCCUUGAUUCAUUUAGGGCCACCAAGGGGCCGCCUUGACUUGGUUAGGGCUGCCAAAGGGCCGCCUUCACCCGUCUAAUGUUGCAAAGUGCUCGCCUUAACUUCCUAAUGGGCUACCUUGACCCUCCUACCUAGGGCCGCCUUGACCCUCCUAGGCCCAUCUAGGGCCGCCAAGGGGCUGUCUUGACCCGCUUUAAACCGCCUUGGGCAGCCUUGAGCCGCCUUGACACUCCUAAGGCUGCCAAGAGGCCGCCUUGACCCGGAUAGGGCCGCCAAGGGGUCGCGUUCACCUGUCUACGGCCGCCAAGUGGCCUCCUUAACCCGCCAAAGGGUUGCCUUGACCUGCUAAUGGGCUACCUUGAUCCUCCUAGACCUGCCUAGGGUCACCUUGACCCUAUUAGGCCCGUCUAGGGCUGCCAAGGGGCCGCCUUGACCCGCUUUGACCUGCCUUGAGCCGCCUUAACCCGUCUUGGUCCGCCUUGGCCCGCGUUAAUCCGCCUUGGCCCGCGUUAAUCCGCCUUGACCCGCUAAGAGGCCGCCUUGAUUCGUCUAAGGCCACCAAGGGGCCGCCUUGACCCGGUUAGGGCCACUAAAGGGCCGCCUUCACCCGUCUAAAGCCGCAAAGAGGUCUCCUUGACUUGCUAAUGGGCUACCUUAACCCUCCUAAACUUGCCUAGGGCCGCCUUGACCUUCCUAGGCCCGUCUAGGGCUGCCAAGGGGCCGUCUUGACUUGCUCUGACCCGCCUUUACCCUCCUUGUCCCGCUUUGAACCGCCUUAGGCCGCCUUGACCCGCCUUGGGCCACCUUGACCCUCCUAGGGCCGUCAAUGGGCCGCCUUGACCCAUCUAGGGACACCAAGGAGCCACCUUGACCCGGGUAGGGCUGCUAAUUGGCCGCAUUCACCCGUCUAAGGCCGCCAAGUGGCCGCCUUGACCCUACUAAGGUCUUUUAGUGCCGCCAAGGGGAUUCCAUGACUCGCCAAAGGGUCGUCAUGACCCGUCUAGGGCAGCCAAGAGGCCGCCUUGACCCAUCUAAGACCACCUAGGGGCCGCCUUGACCCGUUUUGAACCGACUUGAGACACCUUGGGCCGGCUUAUCCCGCCUUAACCCACCUUGAACCGCCUUGACCCUUGUACGGUCGGCUUAUCCAGUCUUGACCUGUUUUGACCCGCUUUGAACCGCCUUGAGGCACCUUGGGCCGGCUUAUCCCUCCUUAACCCACCUUGAACCGCUUUGACCCUUGUAGGGUCGGCUUAUCCAGUCUUAACCCGUUUUGACCCGCUUUGAACCGCCUUGAGGCACCUUGGGCCGGCUUAUCUCGCCUUAACCCACCUUGAACCGCCUUGACUUAUCUAGGGACACCAAGGGGCCGCCUUGACCCGGCUAGGACCGCCAAGGGGCCACGUUCACCUGUCUAAGGCCGUCAAGUGGCCUCCUUGACCUGCUAAUGGGCUACCUUGACCCUAUUAGACAUGCUAAUGGGCUACCUUGACCCGCUUUGACCCACCUUGAGCCGCCUUGGCCGUCUUGACCUGUUUUGGCCCACCUAGAGCCGCCUUGGUCCGCCUUAAUCCGCCUUGACCCGCUAAAGGGCAGCCUUGACCCGGUUAAGGCCGCCAAAUGGCUGCCUUCACUCAUCUAAUGCCACCAAGGGUCGCCUUGACCUGCUAAUGGGCUACCUUGACCUUCCUAAACCUGCCUAGGGACGCCUUGACCCUCCUAGGCCAGUCUAGGGUCGCUAAGGGGCCGCCUUGACCCACUUUGAGCCUCCUUAAGGCGCCUUGACUCGUCUUGACCCUCUUAGACCCGCCUAGGGCAAUCAAGGGGUCGCCAUGAGCCUCCUAGGGUUGCCAAUGGGUUGUCUAGAGCCGCUAAAAGGUUGCCUUGACCCGCAUAGGGUCGCCUUGACCUGCCUUGGCCCGCCUUGGGUUGUCUUCACCCGCCUUAACCCAUCUUGAGCCGCCUUAGGCCAUCUUGACCUGGCUUGACCUGCAUUGGUCCGCCUUUCCUCGCCUUAAUCUGCCUUGACCCGCCAAGAGGCCGCCUUAACUAGUCUAGGGCCACCAAGAGACCGCCUUGACCCGGUUAGGGCCGUAAAAAAGCCGUCUUCACCCGUCUAAUGCUGCCAUGGGGUCGGCUUGACCUGCUAAUGGGUUAUCUUGACCCUCCUAGGCCCGUCUAGGGCUGCCUUGACCCUCUUAGAUCGGCUAAUGGGCUGCAUUAACCGUCCUAGGCCCGUUUAAGGUCGCCUUGACCCGCUUUGACCCACCUUGAGCCGCCUUGGUCCGCCUUGGCCACCUUGACCCGUCUGGGCCCACCAUGAGCCACCUUGGUCUGUCUUGACCCGUCUUAAUCCGUCUUGACCCUCCAAGGGGCUGCCUUGACCCGGUUAAGGCUGCCAAAUAGCCGCCUUCACUCAUCUAAUGCCGCCAAGGGUCGCCUUCACCUGCCAAGGGCACGCCUUCACCUGCUAAGGGGCUGCCUUAACCAUUCUUGAGCCUCCUAUGCCAUCCUAGGGCCGCUAAGGAGCCGCCAUGACUCAUCAAAGGGUUGUCAUGACCCUUCUAGAGCAGCCAAGGGGCUGCCUUGAGCCAUCUAAGGCCGCCUAAGGGCCGCCUUGACCUGGCUAGGGUCGCUAAGGGGCCGUGGUCACCCGUUUAAGGCCGUCAAGUGGCCGUCUUGACUCACCAAGGGUCCGCCUUGACCUGCUAAUGGGCUACCUUGACCCUCUUUGACCUGCCUAGGGCCGCCUUAACCCUCCUAAGCCUGUAGAGGGCCGCCAAGGGGCCGUCUUGACCCACCUUGGGCCGUCUUAAUCCGCCUUGACCCGCCAAGAGGCCGCCUUAACUCAUAUAGGGUCACCAAGGGACCGCCUUGAACCGGUUAGGACCGCCAAUGGGCCGCCUUCACCUGUCUAAUGCCGCAAAGGGGUCGCCUUAACUUCCUAAUGGGCUACCUUGACCCGCUUUAGUCCGCCUUGACCCGGCUAGGGUCGCCAAAGGGCCGCGUUCACCCUUCUAAGACAGCCAAAUGGCUGCCUUGACCCUCCUAAACACGCCUAAAGCCGCCUUGACCCUUCUAGGGCCGCCAAGGGGCUGCCAUGACUGGCCAAGGGGUCGUCAUGACAUGUCUAGGGCCGUUAAAGGGCCGCGUUCACCCGUCUAAGGCCGCCAAGUGGCCACCUUGCUUGACCCGCCUAGGGUCUCCUUGACCCUCCUAGACCCGCCUAGGGCUGCUAAUUGGCCGUCUUGACCCACCGAGGGUCGCCAAGGGCCACUUUGACCCGUCAUGACCUGUCAAAGGACUGCCUUAACCUUCCUACACCCACAUAGGGACCACCUAGACCUGCUUAGGGGCCGCCUAAACCCGUCAAGGGGAUGUCGAGACACGUCUAGGGCCACCGAGGGGGAGUUUUGACCCGUCUUGGUUCGUCAAGAUCCGCCUGGACCUGCUUAAGACACGCGUAAGGACCGCCAAGACCUGUUUAGGGGCCGCCGAGACCCGCCAAGGGGCCACCAAGACACGUCUUGUGCUGCCAAGGGAGCUCCUUGACUCGCCUAGAGCCAUCAAGAUCCGCCUAAACCUGCAUAAGACAUGCGUAUGGAUCUCUUAGACCCGCUGAAGGGUCGCCUAGACCCUGCUAGACUCUCCUAGACCCGCCUAGUCCCUGCUAGACACACGUAGGGAUCACCUAGACCCGCUUAGGGGCCGUCUAGACCCACCAAGGGGCUGCUGAGACACGUCUAGGGCUGCCAAGGGGUGCCUUGACCCGCCUAGGGUCGCCAAGACCCACCUAGACUUGCUUAGGACCCGCCAAGGGCCGCUAAGGGGCGAUCUUGACCCGCUAAGGGCCGCUUUAAUUUGCUAAGGGACCACCUUAACCCACCUAGACCAGCUUAGGGGACCGCCUAGACCCGCCUAAGGACCUUUAAGACCCAUUUAGGGGCCGCCUAGACCCGCUAAGGGAGCGCCUAGAGCCAUCAAGACUCGCCUAGACCAGCUUAAGACUUGCAUGGGGACCUCCUAGACCCAUCUAGAUCCUCUUAGACCCGUCUAGACCUUCUUAGACCCACGUAAGGACCAUCUANNNNNNNNNNNNNNNNNNNNACGCUUAGGGGCCGCCUAGACCCGCCAAGGUGCUGUUGAGACCGUUUAGAGCUGCCAAAAGGGCGCUUUAACCCGUCUAGAGUCGUCAAGACCCGCCCAGACUUGCUUAGAACUAGCCAAGGGCAACCAAGGGCCGCUCAGGGGCGGUCUUGACCCAUCGAGGGCCGCCAAGAGGACGCUUUAACCUGCCAAAAGACCGCCUUGACCCACCUAGACCUGUUUAGGGGAUGCCUAGACCUGCCAAGGGGCUGCCAAGACAUGUCUAGGGUUGCAAGGGGCUAUCGAGACCCAUGUAGGGCCGCCAACUGGGCACCUUGACCCGCCAAGGGCCAUUAAUACAUGACUAGACAUGCUUAGGACCCGCGUAAGGACCAUCUAGACCCGCUUAAGGACCGUCUAGAUCUGCUAAGGGCCUGUCGAGAUACAUCUAAGGCCGCCAAGGGGGCGCCUUGACCCGCCUAAGGCCGUCAAGAUCAUCAUGAAUCGAUCCACUGCCUUGCGUACAGAGGGAAAAUAAGAUCAAGUGAUUCACGUAGGGUAACACCCUCAGUACACAUUUCUUGCUCAUUCAUCAUCAUUUAUGAAGUCCUCAUAAAUGAUUUUUUUUUUUAAGUUAACAUAUUUCAUCUAUUAAAAAUAAAAGGAUUAAUUUCAGUUUACCCCCAUCAACUUAGGUCGAUUAUCAUGUUAGUCAUUCUUCUUUCAAUUUCAUCAAAAACACCCCUCAACUCCUAAUUUUCAUCAGCCGCGUAUGUCCAAACCUCCAAUCUCUGUCAAGUGAUGACUUGAUAUCAAGAAGAAAGAAAAAAGGAAAAAUAGACAAAUUGCAUUCAAUCUCACCAAAAUCACCAAGGUUAGAGGGUUGUGAUGGGAACAAAGAUGUGUAUCAAUAUGGGGAGAAAAUGGUUCGAAAGGUAACUUUCAGAAUUUGCCUUUCUUCUUGAUAUCAAGUCAUCACUUGACAAAAGAAUUGGAUGGAGAUUGGAGGUUUGGACAUGCGCGACUGAUGAAAAUUAGGAGUUGAGGGGUGUUUUUGAUGAAAUUGAAAGAAGAAUGACUAACAUGAUGAUCGACCUAAAAUUGAUGGGGUAAACUGAAAUUAGUCCAAAAUAAAAGAUACAUCAUGAAUCGAUCCACUGUUUUGCGUACAAAUGGCAAAUAAGAUCAAGUCAUGAUUCAUGUUGGGUAACCCUCAUUACACAUUUCUCGCUCAUUCAUCAUCAUACCUAUAAUCAACAAGACUAUGGACAAUUAAUCUAAUGAAAAGGGAAACAACAACACCUGUAAUCUAUGUUCCACAUAUUAUAGGCCAUUAUUCUAAACAUAAAAACAUAAUUAAAGGCAAUUGAGACCCAAAGCCCAGAACAAGUAUCCAAGGCCCAAAGAAAAGACUUAAGCUUACUGAAGUCCACAAGCUCAAGCCUAAUUUAUAAGGGCACUCAAGAUGGGCACUCUAUCCUCCGCCAUCUGCCACCACCGUCGUUGCCUCCGACGGGUGGCCUUGGCCCCAUCAUCUGCCAUCACCGGGCCCAAACCGGCAAGGCAGCAACCAGCCUUGACCUCGCCCAAAACCAGCAACCAGCCUUGACUCGCAGCAAUCGUCGUUGCAAACUACCAAGAGCCGCUCAAAGCCGCCUCAAGGUCGACCCCGACAACCUAUAGACAUAACAAGGCUGGAGUUCAAACCACUGAUCUAAUCCGAUCUGAAAUCACUCACGAUCGAACUCCGUUUGUCGACCGAAUGACCUGAUCCUUGCAACAAACAAGAAGCCGCCGCUACUACCGUCUUCAACCUCAAAGAUCAGAGCCGUCACCACUUGUAAAGUCGACGUCGUCUAGUCGCCCAGCCACCGACAGACCCUAAACCAAACUCACGAUCUAAGGCUUACCUCCACGCAGCUGCAGCCGCUUAGAAGCUUGCCCACGCCGCUAAAUCGUGAUCCGGGUCACUCACCACCAGCCAAGAAGCUUAGCCGUCUAGAGCCACCUUGGGCCAUCUUGACCUGUCUUAACCUACCUUGAGCACCAUUGGUCCGCCUUUGCCCGCCUUAAUCUGUCUUGACCCGCCAAGAGGCCGCCUUAACUCGUCUAGGGCCGCAAAAGGGCCACCUUGACCCAGUUAGACCCGGUUAGGGCCGCAAAAAAGCCGCCUUCACCCGUCUAAUGCCGCCAUGGGGUCACCUUGACCUGCUAAUGGCCUACCUUGACCCACUUUCAACCCUCUUAGGCCGCCUUGACCCUCCUACGGCCGCCAAGGGGGCGCCCUGACCUGGCUAGGGCCGCUAAGGGGCCGCAUUCACUCGUCUAAGGCCGUCAAGUGGCCGUCUUGACUCGCCAAGGGGCCGUCUUGACUCGCCAAGGGGCCGCCUUGACCCUCCUAGAGCCGCCUUGACUCUCUUAGGCCCUCAUAGGCUCGCCUAGGGCCACCAAAGGGCCGCCAUGACUCGUCUAGGGCCGCCAAGGGGUCGCCUUAACAAGCUAAUGGGCUACCUUAGCCCUCCUAGACCUGCCUAGGGCCGCCUUUACCCUCAUAGGCCCGUCUAGGGCCAACUUGGCCCGCCUUAAGCCGUUUUGACCUGCCUAGGACCACCUUGACUUGCCUAGUGACGCCAAGCGGCCGCCUUGACUCGCAUAGGGUCGCCUUGACCCUUAUUAACCCAUCUAGGGCCGAGUUGACCCGCCUUAACCCAUCUAGGGUCUUCUUGGGCCGCCUUGACCCUCUUAGGCCUGCCCGCCUAGGUAGUCAAGGGGUUGCCAUGACCCUCCUAGGGUUGCCAAUAGGUUGUCUAGGGCCGCCUUGACCCGCAUUAAUCUGCCUUGACCCGCUUUAAACCGCGUUGCCGCCUUGACCCACCCUGGGCCACCAAGAAGUCGCCUUGACCCAUAUGGAGACACCAAAGAGCUGCCUUAACCCGGCUAGGGCCGCCGAAGGGCCGUGUUCACCAGUCUAAAGCCACCAAGUGGCCGCCUUGACCCGCCAAGGGACUGCCUUGACCCACCUAGACCCGCUUAGGGCCGCCAAGGGGGCUGCCUUGACCCUCCUAGGGCCGCUAAGUGGCCGCCUUGACCCACUUUGACCCUCCUUAAUCCGUCUUGAACCUCCUUGAGGCAACUUGGGCUGCCUUGACCCGCCUUGGGCCGCCAAGGGGGCUGCCUUGCCCCUCCUAGGGCCGCUCAGUGGCCGCCUUGACCCGCCUUGAACCUCCUUGCGGUAACUUGGGCUGCCUUGACCUGUCUUAACCCGCCUUGGGCCGCCAAGAGGCCACCUUGACCCAUCUAGGGACACCAAGGAACCGCCUUGACCCAGCUAGGGCCACCAAGGGGCCGCGUUCACCCGUCUAAGGCCGCCUUAACCCUUCUAAGGCCGUCAUAACUCGCCAAGGGGUCGCCAUGACCCGUCUAAGGCUGCCAAGGGGCCGCGUUCACCCUUCUAAGGUCGCCAAGUGGCCUCUUUGACCCGCCAAGGGGGCUGUCUUGACCCACCUAAACCCUCCUAGGCUCUCAUAUGGCUACCAAGGGGCCGUCAUGACUCGCCAAAGAGCCGCCUUGACCCAUCUUAAGCUACAUAGGGGCCGUCUUGACCCUCCUAGGCUCUCAUAUGGCCACCAAGGGGCCGUCAUGACUCGCCAAAGAGUCGCCUUGACCCAUCUUAGGCUACAUAGGGGCCGUCUUGACCCUCCUAGGGCCGCUAAGGGGCCGCCUUUACCUGCUUUGACUCGCCUAAACCUGCCUUGACCCACUUUGAACCGUCUUGAGGCACCUUUGGCCGCCUUGACCCUCCUUGGGCCGCUAAGAGGCCGCCUUAACCCAUCUAGGGACACAAAGGAGCUGCCUUAACCCGGCUAGGGCGGCCAAGGGGCCACGUUCACUCGUCUAAGGCCGCCAAAUGGUCGCCUUGACCCUGCUAGGCCCACCUAGGGCCGCCAAGGGACGCCUUGACCUGCCUACACCUAAGGCCGCCAAGAGGUUGCCUUGACCAGUCUAGGGCCACCAAGAGGCCGCCUUCACCCGACUAAGGCUGCCAAGGGGCCGCCUUCACCCGCUAAGGGGAUGCCUUGACCAUUCUAGACCCGCCCUAGGGCCGCCUUGACCCUCCUAGGCACGCCUAGGGCCACCAAGGGGCCGCCUUGACCCGCCUUGACCCGUCUUAGCCCGCCUUGACCCGCUUUGAACCGCCUUGAGGCGCCUUAGGCUGCCUUGACCCACCUUGACCCUCCUAGGGCCGCCAUGGGACAGCCUUGACCUGGCUAUGGCCGCCAAGAGGUCGCAUUCACCUGUUUAAGGCCGCCUUGACCCGGCUUGGCCCGCUUUGAACCGCCUUGAGGCGCCUUUGGCUGCCUUGACCCUCUUAGGGCCGCCUUGACCUGGCUAGGUUCGCUAAGGGGCCGUGUUCACCCGUCUAAGGCCGCCAAGUGGUCGUCUUGACCCGCCAAGGGGCCGCCUUGACUUGCUAAUGGGCUACCUUGACCUUCCUAAACCUGCUUAGGGCUACCUUAACCUUCCUAGGCCCGUCUAGGGCUGCCAAGGGGCCGCCUUGACCCGCUUUGAACCCCUUUGACCCGCUUUGAACCGCCUUGAGCCGCCUUUGCCAGUCUCAAUCUGCCUUGACCCGCCAAGAGGUCGCCUUGACUUAUCUAGGACCACCAAGGGGCCGCCUUGACCUGGUUAGGGCAGCCAAUGGGCCGUCUUCACCCGUCUAAUGUCAUAAAAGGGUCGCCUUGACCUGCUAAUGGGUUAUCUUGACCCUCCUAGACCUGCCUAAGGCCGCUUUGACCCGUUUUGACCCGUCUUCACCUGUUUUGAACUGCUUUGGGCCGCCUUGACCCGACUAGGGCCGCCAAUGGGCAGUGUUCACUCGUCUAAGGCCGCCAAGUGGCCGCCUUGACCCGCCAAGGGGGCUGCCUUGACCCUCCUAGACCCACCUAAAGCCUCAUUGACCCUCCUAGACCCUCCUAGGGCCACCAAGGGGAUGCUCUGACUCAUCAAGGGGUCGCCAUGACCCGUUAAGAGGUCGCGUUCACCCGUCUUAGGCCGCCAAGUGGCCGCCUUGACCCGCCUAGAGCCGUCUUGACCCUCCUAGACCCGCCUAGGGCCGCUAAUUGGCCGCCUUGACCCAUCGAGGGCCGCCAAUGUAAUACCCCGAUAAUUUUAAAAGUCAAUUAAUGUAGAAUUAAAUUCAGUUUACCCCCAUGAGGUUUGAGAGUAACUUCAUGUUAAUCCCUAUACUUUCAAUUUCAUCAGUUUACCCCUCAACUUUUGAAUUUUCCUCAAGCGUGACCAAUGUCCUAUAUUCUGUCCAAAUCGGACGUUAACUGCUAAUAAUUUUAACCUUAACUAUGAAACCCGUAUCUAGAAUUAAGGGUUAAUUCAAACAGAAUAUGAGAAUUUGGGCACUGCAGACAAAAAUUAAAGAGUUCAAGGGGUAAACUGAUGAAAUUAAAGGUGUAGGGACUAACAUGAAGUCACCCCUAAACCACAAGGGGGUAAACUGAAUUUAAUUCAUUAAUGUAUAUACAUAUAUAUCAUUCAUGCUAAGAUGUGAGUUAAUUAAAAUAUUCUUGUAAUACGAGAAUAUUUAUUUGGGACUCUUCCUGUGCCGAAACAUAUGUGUAUAAUAGAUAUAUGCACAUAUACGGUAUACUUUCACAAUUAU